UGAUGGAAGAUUUGUAUUAGUAUUAUGUUCAUUUCUUAACAAUUUAUUCAUUUUCUAUAUUUAUUUAUUCAUUUCUGCUAUUCACUUUUUUAUAUACCGUUUACACCAAAGCAUUUUGCUUGAAGAAAAUCUUUCCCAUGCUUUAUUUUGUUCUGGUUAAAGAGAGUUGAUUCCCAUGGUCUCAUCUUUAGUCUUAAAUGAUCUCUUGCAGAUAAUUUGGUAAAAAAUGCUGG
rnacentral:misc_RNA from 1 species